rnacentral:rRNA from 1 species
CCUACGGGCGGCAGCAGUGAGGAAUAUUGGUCAAUGGGCGGAAGCCUGAACCAGCCAAGUAGCGUGAAGGAUGACGGCCCUAUGGGUUGUAAACUUCUUUUAUAUGGGAAUAAAGUGUUCCACGUGUAGGGUUUUGUAUGUACCGUAUGAAUAAGGAUCGGCUAAUUCCGUGCCAGCAGCCGCGGUAAUACGGAGGGUCCGGGCGUUAUCCGGAUUUAUUGGGUUUAAAGGGAGCGUAGGUCGAUUGUUAAGUCGGUUGUGAAAGUUUGGGGCUCAACCCUAACAUUGCAGUUGAAACUGGCAGUCUUGAGUACACGAGAGGCAGGCGGAAUUCGUGGUGUAGCGGUGAAAUGCUUAGAUAUGACGAAGAACCCCGAUUGCGAAGGCAGCUUACUGGAGCGCAACUGACGCUGAGGCUCGAAAGUGCGGGUAUCAAACAGGAUUAGAUACCCGAGUAGUC